CGAGGAGGGGAGCGCGCCAGAGCGCUGGGGACCGAGGCAGAGGAGGAGCGCGGCAGCGGCGGAGGCGAUCCCGCGAAUUCCUUCCAGUAAACACCUCCCGGGGGUGUCCGGAGGGCUGGGGGUGGGCGCCGCGGCGCCUACAUUAGCCCGGCCGGGCUGUGCCCAGGCGGCAGUCGGGUCUGAGCCGCCGCGGUACUCAGCGCCCCGCGCGCCCAGCGCUGCGCCCCGCGCCCGGCUCGGCGCGAUCGGCUCCCCGGCGUCUGAGGCGCGCCCGCCCUCCCGCCCGGCUCUCCGGCUGCCCUCCCCCGGGCUCCUCCGUCUCCGAGGAGCCCCAGGCGCUGCGGGGCCGCUCUCCGCCGCGGUCCCCCGCUCCCCCGCCUGCUUGCGGGGCGCGUGGGCUCGGCGGAGGCGGAGAGGGGAGGCUGCAGGCGGGGAGAAGAGGCGGGGGCCGCGGCGGCCGGAGCCCAGAGGAAAGUGGCAUGCCCGAGCCCUGGAGGCGGAGGUGGCGGAGGCGGCCGCGGGGAGACGAUGCAGCGGCUCCGUAGGGGAGGAAGGCGAGAGCGAGCCAGGCGAGCCGGGCGCCCGGGCGCCCGCGGGCUGCGGGGAGGCGCGCGCCACUCCGAGGCUCUGGCCUCCGCACCCCCGCGCCCCGACGCUGCGGGAGAUAGGGCCGGGCUCCGGCAGCCGCCGCCGUCGCCGCCGCCGCCGCCACCCGGAGAACGGAGCAAAAGUUUGGAUCUGGGGGAGGACGCGGCGCCGAGCGGGAUUUCUACUGGGGCCGCCAGGAGACCUCCAAAACCUUCGCAGAUUGCAGAUUGAGCUUAACCAAGAAGCUCGUGGGCUGAUCCACACUGACCUGACUGACCACAGAAGAAAUUCUGCCGGCCUGGUUGGGCCCCUCUUGGCCGCAGAUAACUUGGCUUCACUUGUUGCCUGGGUGGAAAAUUCUUCCUAUUGAAAUAUUUUUGCACAUGGAGGACAGCAGCAAAGAGGCCAACACAGGCUGAGAAGACCAGAGACCUCAAGAAGAUCCUUUGACCUUGGCCUUCAGGACAUUUCGUCUAGUUGGAGUUCUGGACUUGAGAACCCUGUUCAAUUAUUUUGGUUUGGCUGUGUGCUUCUAUUUUUUAUUUUUAUUUUUAUUUUUUUACUUUUCUUUUCCCUACAGCAGUGUGU
rnacentral:lncRNA from 1 species